rnacentral:misc_RNA from 1 species
GAGUUAACAACUCCCAAACCCCAUGUGAACCUAUACCAAAACGUUGCUUCGGCGGGAGCGCCCCGGCUCAGCCCGGAAGCAGGCGCCCGCCGAGGACCCCCUAAACCAUGCUUUCUACAGUUUCUUCUGAGUGGCAAACGCAAAAUAAAUUAAAACUUUUAACAACGGAUCUCUUGGCUCU